rnacentral:rRNA from 1 species
CCUACGGGUGGCAGCAGUGAGGAAUAUUGGUCAAUGGACGAGAGUCUGAACCAGCCAAGUCGCGUGAAGGAUGAAUGCCCUAUGGUUUGUAAACUUCUUUUAUAUGGGAGUAAAAUGUUCCGCGUGUGGGAUUUUGUAUGUACCAUAUGAAUAAGGAUCGGCUAACUCCGUGCCAGCAGCCGCGGUAAUACGGAGGAUCCGAGCGUUAUCCGGGUUGAGUGGGUUUAAAGGGAGCGUAGGUGGAUUGUUAAGUCAGUUGUGAAAGUUGCCGGCUCAACCGUAGAAUUGCAGUUGAAACUGGUAGUCUUGAGUACAGGAGAGGUGGGCGGAAUUCGUGGUGUAGCGGUGAAAUGCUUAGAUAUCACGAAGAACUCCGAUUGCGAAGGCAGUUCACUGGACUGCAACUGACACUGAGGCUCGAAAGUGUGGGUAUCAAACAGGAUUAGAUACCCCGGUAGUC